rnacentral:rRNA from 1 species
UACGUAGGGGCCUAGCGUUGUCCGGAAUCAUUGGGCGUAAAGAGCGUGUAGGCGGCCCGAUAAGUCCGCUGUGAAAGUCCAGGGCUCAACCCUGGGAUGCCGGUGGAUACUGUCGGGCUCGAGUCCGGAAGAGGAGUGUGGAAUUCCUGGUGUAGCGGUGAAAUGCGCAGAUAUCAGGAGGAACACCAAUGGCGAAGGCAGCACUCUGGGACGUGACUGACGCUGAGACGCGAAAGCGUGGGGAGCAAACAGG